CUCAAGCUUGGUCCCGCCCUCAGCCUUGGCCCCGCCCCAGUUUUAGCCACUCUUAGACCCGCCUCUGUCUCAGCCUGAGCAAAUCCUGCUUUCCCGCCCUGGCGUAUCUUCGAUCCCCUCCGGUCUCUGUUUAAAACACUUGAGCACACGUGGGCUGGGUGCCGAACUCAAGGGUUCCGGACCGGGAGCUGUGGGCGCGCUAGGCUGUUGCCAGGAGCACAGCACUGUAAGUAAGCUUCAAGAGGGCAGGAGCCAGGUGGCCAUCCCUCCAGAAUGCUCCCUUGCCAAAUAGAAAGUUGGUUGUAACCUGGCCAAGCUCCUGCUAUGUCUGAAGAAUAAGGCAGACUGGAGGGAAAAAUGACCAUAAGAUCUAUAUAAUCAAGUCUAUCAGCAAGACAUAUGGGCUGCUCUCCAAGUUCUCCCAGCAUUCAUGCAUCCAGCCGGGAUAUAGGGCAGGAUUCUCAAAGUUAAGUGCAACUAAGAAGAAUUUUCAGCGCACUUAAGAUUGGCUCCUGCCUGGGGCACCUGAGUCCUCUGGAGAUUCUCAUUCUGCAGUCUGCAGCAGGACCCAUGAAUUUGCAUUUUAUAAAGUAUCCAGGUGAUUUUGAUGCAGGUAACCCUUUGACCUCACGCUGAGAAAAUGCUAGUUUCACUUUGGUUAAUAUUAACUGUUUCAUAUAUACAUAUACAUAUAUAUAUAUUAUUUGUUCAAAGAAAUUCUUAGUAUUUCCAGAUGAAUAAAAAGGAUUUAAUAUUGAAUAAAAGGGAUGCCAAAGAAGUUCUCUUGGAAGACUGGAAAGUUUUUUGGAGGACAUGAUAAAUAGAAUUUGAAUAAGCAAAAAAAGAUUUCCUGGCUCUAACUCUAACAUGUGUAUGCAUUCAUGAUUUUUUAUGAGAUAUAUAUAUAUAUAUAUAUAUAUAUAUUUCAUUAUUUUUAUGUUGGGUGGUUGAUCAUUUCCUUACUGAAUUUGAGCUCCUGGCAUAUCUAGAAAAAUAGCCCUUUGCUGAUUAUAUGCUUUGCCAGUCCAUUACUAUAAAAAUCUAAAUAAAAUGUUUUGGUAUUUUCUUUUAUGUCAAACUUGGAAAGGCCUAUUCCAUUCUAUGAUUAUAAAAAUAUAAAACAUGAUUACCCAUGUUUUCUUCUGGGACACUGACGGCCCAGAGUGGUGGUGCUGCUAAGAUCCAGAUCUUCUUGAAAAGGGUACUGCCUGGCUCCCGGCAUGGCAGAGAAGUCUUUGCACUCCUGUGCUUGUGAAACUUGCUGGAAACCUGCCCUCUAGGGUGCCAGAAAAAACUAUUCAUAGGGAGGUGUCUUCCUGGAGUCAUUUUGCUACAAAACUACCCAAGGGAGGUGGUAAAGCAAACUUCUGGCCAAGAGGAGCUGUUACAGAUUGUACAUUGCAGGAGCUAAGCAUUUGGAGGGGCUGAGAGUCUCGCAGGAGCCUAGUGCUCGAGAAGCUAACAGCACUGCAGGAGGCAGAAAACCUAGUGGGCACAAAACUUACGAGGGAGGAUGCAUGAGGUGUGAGUUGGGGAGCUGCUGACCUCUGGGUGCUGUUGGUCACCAUGCACUGCAGAAGCUGAAUCCUCAAGAAGCUGUAAGUGCUGGAGUCUGGUGCUGAAGAAAACCACCUUUACGCUGCAGGAGGCUGCCUAACAAGACACCAGAACCAGGAAGCAAAUCCUUUUCUUUCUGCAGUCUCUCCAGCUCUCCACUGAUACAGUUUCAGUGCCAGCUAGCAAACAAUAUUUAAAGGGCUCAGGUCCAUUUUCACAGGAUAAACUUGGAGAUGAGGCAAUCAGUAGGUAACCAGCACACGUUUUCAUGAAUUCUUACUGAAUAAUAAAAGCAUUUAAGGGUAUUCAUUUUGUUCUGAGUGCAGUUGUGUGCAAUUCGCAUUAAAUUUUGUGUUGUUGUGUUUAUAUGUCACUCCUGUUUCCUAAUUAGAAUGUCAUUGAUGCUUUUGCUUUCUGUGAGUCAAUAAUUACAUACAUUUUAUUUUUAGCUAACAGGUGGAUUUUUAUUUAUUAUUUAUGUUUUCUUGCUGCAUAAGUAUUUACAUAUCACAUUGCAAUAAAAAAUGUGCCUUUACUAGUUGUACUAUUUGAGAUCUAUUAAGAUUUGCUUUAGAGCAUUUUUAAAAUGUUUCAUGGGUUUUUGAAAAGAAUAUAGGUCUGUAUGGUAAAAGCUCAAUACAUAUACUAAGUAAGCUUUAAAAUUGUAUGUUAUAUUUAAAAUAUACAUUAUAUAUAAUAUGUAUAUUAUAUAUAAAUAUACAUUUAAAAUGUAUAUUAUAUUGUUAACUUGGUCUUUAGAAAACAGAUUAAUGUCUCUGAUUUUUUUUAAUUUUUACUUUAAUUUCUCAUAAAUUUUAUUUUGUAUAUUUUUGUGCUAUGUUAUUUGGUAUAUACUCAUUAAUGUAGAUUGGAAGAGCAUAUCCAAUUUUUGUCAUAGUAUAUUUGCCUAGGUAUGUGGUAAAUAGCAGAUAUUCAAUAGACACUUAUCUAAUGAUGGCCUUAAUUUAAAAAAAAAAUCAUUUUUGAAUACUAUUUGUUUAUUAGCACCAAUAUCAUAUCACUUAUAUUCUUAGAAUAAGCUUUAAAAUGUUAGCCAGAAAGAAGUGUAUUCAAAAGAUGGCAAGAUUAGCAAAACUGUGGAUAAUUACUAAAGUUGGAUGAUGAUACAUGAGAAUGAAUAAUACUGUUUUCCUUUUUUUUAUUGCUUGAAGUUUUUCAUAGUCAAAAAUUCAAAAUUAUGCAUACAUAAUUACUUAUUAAUUCUCCUCUUUGUAGGAUAAAUAAUUACUUAUUAAUUCUCCCCUUUGUAGGAUAAAACAGUUAUUCCUUCUAGUGGUUUCAGGUUUGGUUUUUUUGGUUUUUUGUUGUUGUUGUUCAGAGUCAGAGGAUCAUUCAUAGAAAUACAAGGCUUGGGCUACAUUCAUCAUGUAAACUGACAUCCAGUAUUUUCCAAUAUUCAUCCAAUAUUCUCCAUUGUGUCCCCCGCUUAAAAUACUUAAAGGUUUAGUCUGCUUGUUUGUUUAAUUAAUACUUGAGCCUUAAAACGACUGCAGGCCUGGCUGAAAACCUUAGUGGCAGCCGUGCGAGAAACCCAGAGCCAGAGCACUCAGCUCAGCUGUGCCCCUAUGGAAACUAUGAGAUAAUAAGUGUUUUAAACCACUAAGUUUUGAAGUGAUUUGUUAUGCAACAGUAAUCAUUAAUACAGCACCCAAUAUACUUCCAACUGAUUCAUUUUCUAUUUGAAUCUACCUGAGUUAAAUUAACCUAAAUUAAUUUUUGUUCUUUGGUAUCUUGUACCUUGACUGAUACAGAUGCUUACUACAUUUUCUUAGUAAUUUUUUAGUCUAAUUUUUUCUCACUACUCAGUCAACUAGUAUUUAUGAGUACUUUUUCAAAACUAGUAUAUAGUUGAUAGAUUCUGUAGUUCUCUUACUUAAGCAUUUUCAAAUGCAAUUCAAACUAAGAGAUGCAUUUUAUUACCCAGUGACAUAUACACAUGGGGACACAUACACACCAAAUUUCCUUACUUUUAAUAUAUGCUGUAUUCUUUUACAUCGAUAUUCUGUUCUCUUUGACUCAGAAAUAAAUGCUAGUUACAAUGUACUAAAUCAAUUUAAUGACUGACUAAUAAGUCAGUGUUUGAAAAACAUGACUAUAAACUAUCCUUCUUUCUCUUUCCCUUUCUCUCUUUUUGUUUUAGCAUUUUGAGUUGUGCAUGAUACAUCAGAGUCCAGUCUGUUUUCUUUUUUUCUUUUUCCUUAGAGAAGUAAUCUGUUUGUUUGGUUGUUUUCCCCACCUGGGUGCCCUUAGAAAAUUUUUUCCUUUAUCCUUGAAAGUAAUUUAUUUUUUCAGAUAUUCCACAUGUCCCUUCCAUUUGAAAAGUGACAUGUUUUCUGAGUUCAGGGAUAUUUUCUUCUAUUUUGGAAUUAGAAAUCCAAGUUUCUUACCUUCUUUUCCCCCAGGGCUCAGGUAUUUAUCCUUUGACCUAAAGGUCUGGGAGAGUUUCUUAAAUAACCAUGUAAAUCACUGACUAUGUUUUUAGCAAUAGCUAAUAGGUAUUUUUUUUUUUUAUUACUGACAUGGUGUUUUAAAAUUAGAUGGUUGUUUUUGAAUCUAUACAAGCUUUUUCUGUUGUCAGAUUGUAUCCAUGCAUAUUUGCAAAACAUAUCUGAGAAAGUACAUUUAUCUAAAUAUAUAAAUUACUUAUGUGUAAAGAUACUCAUUAGAAACAUGGGCAAAUGAUAUGAACAGACACUUGACCAGCAAAGAUGUACAGAUGGCAAAUAGGUACAUAGAAAGACGUUCUACACCACUAGCUAUUAGGGAAAGGCAAGUUAAAGCCAUGGUGACACUCUACUACACCCCUACUAAAUGGCUAAAAUUAAAAAGAAUGACAAUACCAAGUGCUGACAAGUUUACAAGCAGAUGAAACCCUCAUAAAUUGCUAAUGGAAAUCAGUGUGGCAGUUCCUCAUAAAGUUAUACACAUGUUUGUCAUAUGAUCCAGCAAUAACAUCACUCCUAAGUAUUUAACCCAGAGGAAUGAAGACAUAUGUUCCUGCAAAGACCUGUAUAUGAAUGUCUUUAAUAGGUUUAUUCAUCAUAGCUUCAAACUGGAAACAAUCCAAAUUUCCAUCAACCAGUGAGUGAAUAAACAAACUGUAGUGCAU